rnacentral:lncRNA from 1 species
CCCGCCCGCCCCGAUUUUUUUUAUUUUAUGAAAAAUAACGAUUCCCGGAUUUUGUUCAUUUCCGUUACCGGUAACCGUCGAUAAUUUCGUUUCGUGUUAAACUUCCUGUUUCCAAUUUCGGUUUUCGUAUUUCUUAGAGAGAGUAUUCUUAUCAUUUACCGAGAAUAGAGAUUCAAGAUUGAUUACGAGAAGGGCAUGAAAUAUUCGGGUAACGAGUAAAACGCUGUGUCCAAGAACGCAAAUCGCCGUAUGUCACAACUUAAUGACACAAAUGUUUGUGAGUAAAACACCUUGGAUUUAUUUUAUUUAUACAAUGACUGACAUGACUUUGUGUCAAGAAAUUUGGACUGUGAAUGAAACCCAAAAGCGUAAGAAUCGUGGAACACAUUUGACUGGAAUAAAGAAAUUGACACAAGCAUGAUCUUUUUAGAAUGGUGACCGAAUAUUGAGUUUAGAAAAUGGACAAACAUAAGCAUUUUUAAUUUAUUAAUUUAUAGCAAGCUCUUAGAUUUAGAUUUAGCCAUGGCGCCUUUAGUUUUUUGUAGAAAAAAACAGCAAACAUCCUCUGUCCCAAUACCCACGAUAGAGUCACUAAACAACUUUAUGUUCUACAUUCAAUUUGUAAUUAUAUUUGCAUCUUGCAUAAUUAUAUUAAGGACCAACUUUAUAUUUCAACACUGUUUGAGUUUUUUCAUUUUAUUCUGUACUCAUCGUACUCGUGUUGCAUAUCAUUGCAUUUGCUUCAUUUUAUUAGGAUAACAAAACAUUGCCCGGAUUCAAAAGCAAAAUACAUUUGAUGUAGGUUGUCCAACUGAAAAGAGCAUUUGUUCACAUUUCUGCUGUUUACUAUAAGAUAGGUUUCUACAGCGGCAAUUACAUGUAGAACAG